rnacentral:piRNA from 1 species
UACCAUGAUAUUGUUGACUGCAUUUAGGA